rnacentral:rRNA from 1 species
GACGAACGCUGGCGGCGUGCCUAAUACAUGCAAGUUGAGCGCUGAAGGUUGGUACUUGUACCAACUGGAUGAGCAGCGAACGGGUGAGUAACGCGUGGGGAAUCUGCCUUUGAGCGGGGGACAACAUUUGGAAACGAAUGCUAAUACCGCAUAAAAACUUUAAACACAAGUUUUAAGUUUGAAAGAUGCAAUUGCAUCACUCAAAGAUGAUCCCGCGUUGUAUUAGCUAGUUGGUGAGGUAAAGGCUCACCAAGGCGAUGAUACAUAGCCGACCUGAGAGGGUGAUCGGCCAAAUUGGGACUGAGACACGGCCCAAACUCCUACGGGAGGCAGCAGUAGGGAAUCUUCGGCAAUGGACGAAAGUCUGACCGAGCAACGCCGCGUGAGUGAAGAAGGGUUUCGGAUCGGAAAACUCUGUUGGUAGAGAAGAACGUUGGUGAGAGUGGAAAGCUCAUCAAGUGACGGUAACUACACAGAAAGGGACGGCUAACUACGUG